UGUUCCCUACGGGAGGCAGCAGUGGGGGAUAUUGCACAAUGGGGGGGACCCUGAUGCAGCGACGCCGCGUGAAGGAAGAAGUAUCUCGGUAUGUAAACUUCUAUCAGCAGGGAAGAAAAUGGCGGUACCUGACUAAGAAGCCCCGGCUAACUACGUGCCAGCAGCCGCGGUAAUACGUAGGGGGCAAGCGUUAUCCGGAUUUACUGGGUGUAAAGGGAGCGUAGGCGGCAGUG
rnacentral:rRNA from 1 species